GGCCUCGUAGCUCAGGGGAUAGAGCACCGCUCUCCUAAAGCGGGUGUCGCGCGUUCGAUUCGCGCCGGGGCCAC
rnacentral:tRNA from 1 species